UCCGAUGUGGUGUAGUGGCUAACAUUGCUGUCUUUCAAGGGGCCGCCGUAAGCGGAAUUUGAUCACAGCAGCCCGGGGUUCGAUUCCCCGCAUCGGAA